CGUCGCCUGCAUCUUCCCGGUCAAGGCCGGGUUGACCGUGCGAAUUUUUUAAUCUGGUCGUGCCGCUGGCUCACAAGGCCACCGCUAUGCGCACCGCAGUAACCACCUGGCGGCGUCCAGGCAGGCCUGGCGCAGUUUCUCCACUGAUCGGCAUAGCCUUCGGUGGGGCGACGUAGAUAGCACGAAUUGACG
ncrna:Janthinobacterium lividum PAMC 25724 RT-15 RNA